GCGCGGAAAGCCUAGGUGAAGCAACCACAGGCGCAGAUCUUGAUGUUUGUAGCAAAUAUUCAAGUGAGUACCUUGAGGGCCGAGGUGGAGAAGGGUUCCAUGGGAACAGCAGUUAACCAUGGGUCUGGCGAUCCUAAGUGAUCCGGUAAAUCGGAACAGAGACAGGGGUGCCUGACAUUGUCCGUUCGAGGGCUUUGUU
rnacentral:ncRNA from 1 species